AAUAAGGGUGCUGUAAAUCAUUGAUUUUUCAGAGUGUUUUUGGCAGCGAAAUAAGUCGAACGUAUUUUGCUGGGCUGUAAAGGAAGCUCUGAUGGUUGGCUUUAUAUAGCCAGCCAUUGGAUUGGAUUUUAUACACAAUCGAAUACUUGGCGUCAAAACAACUCCGCCAUAUUUUGGUUGAAACACUCUCACAAUGGUGAUCGGAAGAAAUGUAAAAAAAAUUAAAAAAAUGCAAAAAAUUGUCUACGAUCACGCCGGAAUCAGAGUCGCAAUUUGAUAUCCUAUCUAACACCGAAAGCUUGGAGUAUGAAAGUGACUACAAGCAUCUACACUUAUAUGCUAGUUAAUGGGUACGUCCUUACAUUCUACGAUAUGUAUGUAUUCUUGUAUGUCAUAUAGCAGUAUAUUUCUACUACAUGAUUAAUGUACAAUCUUACAUCUACAACACUGGUCCGCCGUGAAAGGGCCUACCACCACUACCACACCCACACCAUCGACAAUUUCCCCCAAGUUCGAUUCUCAUGCUGUCUAGGUUCAGUAGACGGCACGGGAAUCGAACCCGGGUACCUCUACGCUUGAAACGAGUGUUUUACCACUACGCCAACGGAGAGGUGCUCAACAAUUUUUAAAACUUCCAUAUGCGAAACCGAUCGUUUCAAGUGGUUACACUAAAUCGCCAUGGAAAUAAUUGCUAAAUUGCAAUUGAUAAAUUAGCGCAUAGUUUUGUUAUUUAAUUAAAUUUUCAGUUUUUCAAAUUUUUUGAAAAAAAAAACAAAAAAUUUAACAUGAUUUUGAACUUGUGCAUGCACCACAUAAUAAUACAUUCCAAGACGACGCGCUAACCAACUGCGCCAAACUGACUUACUGCGUCUUUCGUUUUUAUCCAUACAUCAAUAAAUCUUAUGCAAUUGUUCUGUGGAUUCGAAUGUACCAGCGGACUAAUUGAUAUAACUCAACAGAUACGACUUAACAAACGAGACAAUUGAUAUUGCACUCGUAUUACAUGUUUGACGCACACUGUUAAAGAAAUGGUACAGAUGGCGCUGUCACCUCUCAUAUCUCAACAAACAAAGUCCUUUGUAAUCAGAAUUUGAUUGCAAGUUGAAUGAAUGUGUGAAAUGUUGUGGGCGAGUUGUUUAGCGUUUGUGGCGUUGGUUCAAAAUCUGUUUUUUUUUCAUUUGAAUUUUACAACUCAACAUCAAUCGGGUAAUUGGGUAACCAGAUUUGUAGAUGUUUAGAGUAAGAAAAUUGUAUGUAAGAAUCGCUGUAAUAAAACGAUGAAACCGGAAA